GGGGUCAUAGCUCAGCCGGGGGAGCACCUGCCCUACAAGCAGGGGGGCACAGGGUCGAGCCCCGGUUGGUCCCACCA
rnacentral:tRNA from 1 species